ACACUCCUACGGGAGGCAGCAGUGGGGAAUCUUGCGCAAUGGGCGAAAGCCUGACGCAGCCAUGCCGCGUGAAUGAUGAAGGUCUUAGGAUUGUAAAAUUCUUUCACCGGGGACGAUAAUGACGGUACCCGGAGAAGAAGCCCCGGCUAACUUCGUGCCAGCAGCCGCGGUAAUACGAAGGGGGCUAGCGUUGCUCGGAAUUACUGGGCGUAAAGGGAGCGUAGGCGGACAUUUAAGUCAGGGGUGAAAUCCCGGGGCUCAACCUCGGAAUUGCCUUUGAUACUGGGUGUCUUGAGUAUGAGAGAGGUGUGUGGAACUCCGAGUGUAGAGGUGAAAUUCGUAGAUAUUCGGAAGAACACCAGUGGCGAAGGCGACACACUGGCUCAUUACUGACGCUGAGGCUCGAAAGCGUGGGGAGCAAACAGGAUUAGAAACCCUGGUAGUCCCA
rnacentral:rRNA from 1 species